GUGCCAGCAGCCGCGGUAAUACGUAGGUGGCAAGCGUUAUCCGGAAUUAUUGGGCGUAAAGCGCGCGUAGGCGGUUUUUUAAGUCUGAUGUGAAAGCCCACGGCUCAACCGUGGAGGGUCAUUGGAAACUGGAAAACUUGAGUGCAGAAGAGGAAAGUGGAAUUCCAUGUGUAGCGGUGAAAUGCGCAGAGAUAUGGAGGAACACCAGUGGCGAAGGCGACUUUCUGGUCUGUAACUGACGCUGAUGUGCGAAAGCGUGGGGAUCAA
rnacentral:rRNA from 1 species